rnacentral:rRNA from 1 species
GAUGAACGCUGGCGGCGUGCCUAAUACAUGCAAGUCGAGCGAACAGACGAGGAGCUUGCUCCUCUGACGUUAGCGGCGGACGGGUGAGUAACACGUGGAUAACCUACCUAUAAGACUGGGAUAACUUCGGGAAACCGGAGCUAAUACCGGAUAAUAUAUUGAACCGCAUGGUUCAAUAGUGAAAGACGGUUUUGCUGUCACUUAUAGAUGGAUCCGCGCCGCAUUAGCUAGUUGGUAAGGUAACGGCUUACCAAGGCAACGAUGCGUAGCCGACCUGAGAGGGUGGUCGGCCACACUGGAAGUGAGACACGGUCCAGACUCCUACGGGAGGCAGCAGUAGGGAAUCUUCCGCAAUGGGCGAGAGCUUGACGGAGCAACGCCGCGUGAGUGAUGAAGGUCUUCGGAUCGUAAAACUCUGUUAUUAGGGAAGAACAAAUGUGUAAGUAACUAUGCACGUCUUGACGGUACCUAAUCAGAAAGCCACGGCUAACUACGUG